AGAUUGAACGCUGGCGGCAGGCCUAACACAUGCAAGUCGAGCGGCAGCACGGGUACUUGUACCUGGUGGCGAGCGGCGGACGGGUGAGUAAUGCCUAGGAAUCUGCCUGGUAGUGGGGGAUAACGCUCGGAAACGGACGCUAAUACCGCAUACGUCCUACGGGAGAAAGCAGGGGACCUUCGGGCCUUGCGCUAUCAGAUGAGCCUAGGUCGAUUAGCUAGUUGGUGAGGUAAUGGCUCACCAAGGCGACGAUCCGUAACUGGUCUGAGAGGGUGACCGGCCACACUGGGACUGAGACACGGCCAGACUCCGACGGGAGCAGGCAGGUGGGAAUAGUUGACACGAAGUGGGACGACAAGGCCUGAUGCAGCAACGCCGCGUGGA
rnacentral:rRNA from 1 species